CCAGAGUGGAAUCUGUCAUGAAGUGACCCUGAUGGAAUGGAACCAUGCCAGCAAAAGGGGAGGGGUCCUUAGGUGCUGCAGAAGACACGGAGCGGACCCCCCACCUCACCCCGCCGAAGUGCUGCCAAAGCCCCGGACCGCCACUAGGUAUUCAAAUCGAGCCCUGCAGUUCAUAAAGCCGACCCUGGUCAUGGAAAGUGGUGUCUUUUUUAAACUUGUGGUUGGUGUGGAACAGUAUCCCCAAUUGCAAAUCAGCAGAGCAAUGCUGAGAGAAAGAUGAUUUUUUUCCCCCUCCAAAGAAUGUGUGAUCCAGAGUAUUUACGUAUUCUGAACAGUUUCUUUUUAUUAGUUGUUGAAUAGAAUUUGUAUUUAUUGUUUAUAUAAUUUCCUGCAUGCAAUUAAUGUAUUUUUCUUUAGUUAAUCUAGUAUAUCUGCUUGUUUUAACCAACGGCUUAAUGUAAAAAUAAGCUAGCCUUGUGGCUAAUUAUAAAGUUAUUCUAUUUAUCACCUUCUUUUAAGCCAGUUGAAACAGUCUCGCACUUCCUGUGUGCCAAAUACGCUCUUGUUGCCUUCUUCUGAAAACCCUUCCUGUUUGUGUCAGCACCUUCCCAUACCUUGCCUGUUGCUCCAUGUAUUUGUCUGUUAGACUAAAUGCCAGAACAGGGGCUUUGUUUUUUUGACAUGUAUGUAUUUAGCUGUAGAGCUGUAACUCAGCAUAGCACAACAGUUGAAAGGAUUAAACGAUGGGGUUGGUUUACAACUAGAUAGUGAAGUACUCCUCUGACUGGGUAACUUAAGUAAAGUCAAUGGCCUGGUAUUAAAACCUUCAGCUUGGAUCUCUUAAUUCCUGGAUGGAAGAAAAGGCUGUCAUAGUGAGAUAGAAUAGUAUCAGUAAUACAUCACUCAUGGGACUGAGUGGUCUGUUGCUUAUAAAUCAGACAUCAAUUUUAUAUCUAAAAAUCAUCGAGGUAGGAAUCGCAUGAUAAAGUGGUGCCCUGGGACAAUUAGUACAUUUCAGCAGCUGGGCUACAUCAAAGGCUUCCAUUGCUGACUCUUGAGCUUACACAGUACUCAGAACUGGUAUGUAAAUCUUUUUGGUAUUCUAUUUUCCCCCUCCCCUGAUCCUUUGUAGUCCACAUUCAUCACACUUUUUCCAAGGGGAAGGGAGUUGUCAGGGUGGCUGGGACAAUGGCUAUGGGCGUUGGCUAUCACUUCAUAAGUUCCACUGAAAAAUUCUUUACACCAACUCCUUCUGAGAGUGUUGAGGCAACUUAAGUGUCCAAAAAAAAUUUUUUUUUUUUGAAGUGCCCAGUCAGAAAAAUGCAAAUUUCUUGUGAAAGCUUCAAAACUCCUAUGUGAAAAACCUGGUUAAAGUGUAAGCCUAAACUAUCUAUUUUACAGGUCAAAGUACUCAGCAAGUUUAAGAGGAAUGUGCAAAAAGGGCAAUUUAACACCUCGUUGGAGUCAGCCACUUGACAUCUGAACAUGAACUCAGUUUUUCAUGUGACUCUUUACUGUGCUUUAUGACUUUAGAAGAGACACACAGUCCUUCCACACAGACAGCUUUAAGUCAUGUUGUCUUCUUUAUUGAUAUCAAAAGAUAAAAGGAGCAACAUGCAUUCAGAAGAAUCAUACAAAGGUUCUUAUCCAGCAGAGAGACUGAUGGUCCAUCUGCUUUCAGGUUGAAACUGAUGCCAGGGAAAGGAAGUCAGUGUAGAAGCAGG